CGCCGGCGUCGGCGGGCGUAUUUCGCCUCACAGUAGGUCGCCGCGACCCGUUGCUUUUGGGGACGUCGAAGGCCCGGACGGAUUGGUACCCUACCGGCUGGGGAUGCGGCUUCGGCUUCUCCUCUUGUCCGGUGGGCGAAACCGCCGGUGUCCUGGCUGCCCUGCGACGGUCGUAGAGACGAGCCCUCCCCUUCGGGGGGGCGGCUCUCGCGGCGUGCAAAAGGUCGGUGAUCCACCCGACCCGUCUUGAAACACGGACCAAGGAGUCUAACAUGUGUGCGAGUCAGUGGGCGCACUAAACCCAGAGGCGUAAUGAAAGUGACACGGGUUCGGCUGUCGCCUCGUGUGGCAGCCGGACUCAGGGCCGAUCCCUCACCGGUUGCCCUCGCUUCUCUCCCGCGUCUCGGUAAGCCGGGUGAGCUAUUUUCCCCGGCCGCUGCUGCGGGGCUCGGGGGGAGGCGGGGUUGCGAUGGUGUCCGUAAAAAAGAGCCUGCUGUUGCAGGGGGGCGCAGGCCCGGGACUUGCCAGGACGCCGCGAGACUGUCACUUUGCUGUGAGGCUCUCGGGCCGAUCAGCGGGUCAUGCGUGCAGUCGGCAAGUACCAUGAGCAGACAUGUUGGGACCCGAAAGAUGGUGAACUAUGCCUGGCCAGGAUGAAGCCAGAGGAAACUCUGGUGGAGGUCCGU
rnacentral:rRNA from 1 species